GCAGACACAUUCCAGUCAAUCAGCAGCAGACCCUCCCUCCCAGACCCUCCCACCUCCUGGACAGCAUCCAUUUUACAUUCAUUGUGAAGCUCCAUUCUUAGUGAGCUGUCCAGGAGGUGGGAGGGUCUGGGAGGGAGGGUGUGCUGCUGAUUGGUUGGAAUGUGUCUG
rnacentral:miRNA from 1 species